UACGUAGGGUGCAAGCGUUUGUCCGGAAUUAUUGGGCGUAAAGAGCUCGUAGGCGGUCUGUCGCGUCGGCUGUGAAAACCCGAGGCUCAACCUCGGGCCUGCAGUCGAUACGGGCAAACUAGAGUACUGCAGGGGAGACUGGAAUUCCUGGUGUAGCGGUGAAAUGCGCAGAUAUCAGGAGGAACACCGGUGGCGAAGGCGGUUCUCUGGGCAUGAUCUGACGCUGAGGAGCGAAAGUGUGGGGGAGCGAACAGG
rnacentral:rRNA from 1 species